CCUGAACCCCCCAGCCAUCAGAACCACGGAAACUAAACUACCUACAAUCUCUACCAAAGACGUGACGGCCGGCUUGUGCAAGAUUAAAGACAAAGCCAAAUGCCCCCCGUCAUACAAACCCACGACUUCUCCAGAGGUGGGGCACAACGCUCCACUUCAUCACCCCCACAGUCCUAAGACUGCCCAGUGCAGCCGCUCAGCCUCCAGCAGCUCGGGUCGGGACUGGCCGGUGUCGGCUCUGGGCUGCACGUCUCAGAGCUCCAUCACUCAAGCUUCAGCUGCAGCAGACAGCAACACAGAGCCUCAGGACAACCAGCAGGCCGACCUGUAGGAGGCGACAGAGAG